UACCUACGGGAGGCAGCAGUCGAGAAUCAUUCACAAUGGGGGAAACCCUGAUGGUGCGACGCCGCGUGGGGGAAUGAAGGUCUUCGGAUUGUAAACCCCUGUCAUGUGGGAGCAAAUUAAAAUGAUAGUACCACAAUAGGAAGAGACGGCUAACUCUGUGCCAGCAGCCGCGGUAACACAGAGGUCUCAAGCGUUGUUCGGAAUUACUGGGCGUAAAGCGUGCGUAGGCUGUUUCGUAAGUCGUGUGUGAAAGGCGUGGGCUCAACCCGCGGACGGCACAUGAAACU
rnacentral:rRNA from 1 species